GACGAACGCUGGCGGCGUGCUUAACACAUGCAAGUCGAACGGAAAGUUCCUGCUGUUGUGGUGUGCUCGAGUGGCGAACGGGUGAGUAACACGGGAGGAACCUGCUCUUUAAUUUGGGAUAACUUCAGGAAAAUGGGGCGAAUACCGGAUAGGAGCUCCUGCUGCAUGGUGUGGGUUGGAGAGUAUCGGCGGUUGGGGCUGGACGCGCGGCUUAUCAGCUUGUUGGUCGGGUAGUGGCUUACCAAGGCUUUGACGGGUAGCCGGCCUUCGCGGGGGAACGGCCACCUUGGGACUGAGAUACGGAGCAGAAUCCUACGGGAGGCAGCAGUGGGGAGUAUUGCACAAUGGGCGCAAGCCUGUUGCAGCGACGCCGCGUGCGGGAUACCGGCCUUCGAGUUGUAAACCGCUUUCGCAGGUGCCGAAGCGUGAGUGACGGUAAUGGGUAAAGAAGCACCGGCUAACUACGUG
rnacentral:rRNA from 1 species